UACAGAGGGUGCGAGCGUUAAUCGGAAUUACUGGGCGUAAAGCGCACGCAGGCGGCUCGAUAAAUUAGAAGUGAAAGCCCCGGGCUUAACCUGGGAAUUGCUUUUAAGACUGUCGGGCUAGAAUCUAGAAGAGGGUAGUGGAAUUCCGAGUGUAGAGGUGAAAUUCGUAGAUAUUCGGAAGAACACCAGUGGCGAAGGCGACUACCUGGUCUGGCAUUGACGCUCAUGUGCGAAAGCGUGGGGAGCAAACAGG
rnacentral:rRNA from 1 species